rnacentral:lncRNA from 10 species
CACUAAAUCAGCAAAACCUUGCCGUCACCUAAUACAAUGGCAUCUUCUGAUCUAAGAACACCUUCUCUUCUCUAACAAGAAAUAACAGGACAAAUAGAGAAUAAAAACAGCAGGCAAAUAAAUAAGGGCCAUCUCAUAGAUGAGCUGAUAACUGGAUAAAAUACAAGUAAAAUGUUAACUAUAGAUAUAGGUGGUGAGUAUAAGAAUUCACUGGAUAACUACUGGAACUUUUUUGCAUGUUUGAAAAUUUUCAUAAUGUCAGAAGCAUCGCAACAAAUUCAACCAUAGGCACCAAAGCAAGUCACAUUUCUCAUUAAAUGUUUCAUAAAGAGUCAGAUACUCUCCAGGCCAUUUGUUACAACUCCCUAUAUAAAUGCAAUUCUUCAUUCUCAAGACCUUAUUUGUGUUGUUUCCCCACUGGACUCUUCCCAAAUGCAAACCAGGCCCAGUUCAGGUUCUAACACCUUCUAUUUAAAAAAAGAAAAAGAAAAAUCCUUCUUCUCUCUGCUUAAGUGCCAUUGCAUUUCACUGUGUCGUACUAUCUAAAAUACAGAUCUGACAAUUUUUUAGGUGUUAUACUAGUUAGACUGGGUGUUGUUUUUAAUUAUAAGAAAUACUUUCUACGCCAGGCACAGUGGCUCAUGCCAAAAAUUGGGAUUUUAAACCAAAAGGAGAAACCUUUGAUAAACUGAACAUCAAUUCCAGGUAAAACUAGGCUCUGGAGUCAGCCAGAUCUAGGUUUGAAUCCUAGCUCUGUCAUUUUCUAUCUACCAGUUCAAUGUUUUUUGGCAUAGCACACAAUUUCUGUGACCCUUAGGCUCCACAUCUAUAAUGUGGCAGCAACAACUUUCUUGGUCAGUAGAGCACUCUGCAAAGGGCCUGGCACAUGGUAAGUGCUUGGUGUAGAAUUCAAAUAAUUCCACUACCAUUUCAGUCAUAAAUGCAUACUUUUCUAUAAUCUAACAUCUCUCAAAUUGGGAUGUCUCAUAAUUGAUGGCAUAUCAUGAUUUAAUUGGCAGGUUUUUUCCUUAGUCGUUUGUAAAAAAUGGUGCUACAGAUCAAUAGCAUCUAAGAGUCAAUAUACCAUGGUAUCAAUCAUUGUAAAGAUAUAUUCCCAAUUUCUGUUCUAAGGUUACUCUGAAUAACCAAUCUGAGAUUUAAAAUAUUUAAAGUCUGAGUAAAAUAUUUCUAAUACAUCAUGAACAGAACAGUUUUGAGACAAAUUAAUUUUGUAAAAAAUGGUUUAUCAAUUCCAUUUUUGUAUAAAACACACGGGAGAAACCUAGCCAAUCAACACACAACUGUCACCACAUGAAAAGGUACUUUUAUCAAACUUCGAGUCUAAGAACAUACAAAUGUUUCUUUUAUCAUGUCUACAGUAAUUGUCUAUGCUUUUCCAUUUAACUGUUGUUAAAAAUUCCACAUAUCCCCAUUAUUUCUUCUGUCCCAGUUACAGUACAAUGACGGGGAGGAAGAGGGUUGGUUAAAGCAUCCCUCUAAGCAGUUUUCUGCUGUCCCUUCUUUCCAAUCAGAGAUUUGUGGAUGUGAGGGAUCACACCUAGAAUGAAAUUUAAAAAAGUUAUUAAAAACUUUUAAAGUUUUUGCCUCAAGUAAAAAGUUAAUUAUAGAAAAAAUGAAAUUUACUUAAGUCCCUUUUCAUAUUCUGAUACUGUUAAACUAUCUAUACCAAUGGCUACACCCCAGGGGUCUGUGAACCCUUUAAAACUGUAUGUAAAAUUGUGUGACUUUCCGUGCAUUUUUUGAGAAGAGUAACCAUAGCUUUUUUUUUUUUUUUUUUUUGAGAUGGCCUCACUUUGUCGCCAAUGCUGGGGUGCAGUGGUGUAAUCUUGGCUCACUGCGACCUCUGUCCUGGGUUCAAGUGAUUCUCCUACCUCAGCCUCCUGAGUAGC